GUGCCAGCAGCCGCGGUAAGACAGAGGUCUCGAGCGUUAGGCGGAAUCACUGGGCUUAAAGCGUGUGUAGGUGGAUGUCUAAGUACCUUGUGAAAUCCCACGGCUUAACCGUGGAAUUGCUUGGUAUACUGGAUGUCUUGAGCCACUUAGGGGCAACCGGAACAAAUGGUGGAGCGGUGAAAUGCGUAGAUAUCAUUUGGAACGCCAAUGGUGAAAACAGGUUGCUGGGAGUGUGCUGACACUGAGACACGAAAGCCAGGGGAGCGAACGGGAUUAGAUACCCCAGUAGUCC
rnacentral:rRNA from 1 species